rnacentral:ncRNA from 1 species
ACAGCUUUGGUCCUGACCUUACUAUUAGUCCCCAGCAAACUUACACAUGCAAGCAUCCACACCCCAGUGAAAAUGCCCUUUAAGUCCACCUAACCAAGAGGAGCAGGUAUCAGGCCCGCAAAUCCAAUGCAGCCCACAACACCUUGCUAAGCCACACCCCCACGGGAUACAGCAGUGACAAAAAUUAAGCAAUAAACGAAAGUUUGACUUAGUUAUGCUAACACCCUAAGGGUUGGUAAAUUUCGUGCCAGCCACCGCGGUCAUACGAUUAACCCAAACUAAUACUUACCGGCGUAAAACGUGUUUAGAAUUCCCAAACAAUAAAGUUCAACCAAAACUAGGCCGUAAAAAGCUACAGCUGAAAUAAAAACCUCAACGAAAGUGACUUUAACAAAUCCGAAUACACAAUAGCUAGGACCCAAACUGGGAUUAGAUACCCCACUAUGCCUAGCCCUAAACCAGGACAUUUAACUAAACUAAAAUGUUUGCCAGAGUACUACUAGCAACAGCUUGAAACUCAAAGGACUUGACGGUGCUCCACAUCCCCCUAGAGGAACCUGUCCUAUAAUCGACAAACCCCGAUAAACCUCACCACCCCUUGCUAAUACAGCCUAUAUACCGCCAUCUCCAGCAAACCUUAAAAAAGCUCUACAGUAAGCACAAUUAUCAUGCAUAAGUACGUUAGGUCAAGGUGUAGCCCAUGAGGUGGAAAGAGAUGGGUUACAUUUUCUCAAAAAGAAUAACCCACGAAAACUUUUGUGAAAUUUCAAAAGCCAAAGGAGGAUUUAGAAGUAAUUUAAGAAUAGAGAGCUUAAUUGAACCAGGCCAUGAAGCACGUACACACCGCCCGUCACCCUCCUCAACCCACCAACAACCGAAAAUCAUAUUACCCACCCAUAUUGGUACCCGAUCCAGAGGAGACAAGUCGUAACAAGGUAAGCAUACUGGAAAGUGUGCUUGGAAUAACCAAAGUGU